UACAGAGGUCUCAAGCGUUGUUCGGAUUCAUUGGGCGUAAAGGGUGCGUAGGUGGCGCUGUAAGUCGGGUGUGAAAUUUCGGAGCUUAACUCCGAAACUGCAUUCGAUACUGCGGUGCUUGAGGACUGGAGAGGAGACUGGAAUUCAUGGUGUAGCAGUGAAAUGCGUAGAUAUCAGGAGGAAUACCGAUGGCGAAGGCAGGUCUCUGGGCUGACACUGACGCUCAUGCACGAAAGCGUGGGGAGCAAACAGG
rnacentral:rRNA from 1 species